UUGGUUCCUUUGAGUUUUUCAGUCUG
rnacentral:piRNA from 1 species